GCAAGAGAAAAACGCCAUCUUUCACAGCGAGGUGUGAAUGACGUUUUGGCAGCAAUGCAGCAAUACCAAGCUCUGUUGGUGACCAAUCUAAGGAGUCGGCUUCAAACUGUAUUCCAGCAACAUCCAGGAAGUGAUCUUGAAAAGGAAGCGAUGGCAGUAUUUGACCAGAUUGAGGAACCAUUUGCCUCUGUUGCAACAACAUACAGGCAGGACAAUGUCAUUAAAGGAUAAAAGGGGUUAUCUUUAAUAACCCUAUCAGCAUGGUGCCGUGAUGCGGAUCCCAACAUAUCAGCUCGCUGACGAG